UAAUCAUUCGCAAAAUGUAAUGGAAGAAGACAAGGAACCGGAUGGAACAAAAAUAUAAGUGUGGUGUGCGAAGCAAGUAUUUUAUUACGUACUUAAAAUAUAUGGGUUUGUUCCAAUAAACUACUGCGAAUAGGCAUUUACUUUACGAAAUCAUGUUUCGUGGACGCCCACACCGAGGAGGGUUUCCCCGGCCAUACGGCCCUCCGCAUCACGGCCACUCGCCACCCGGUCCAGGUCGUUCUUUGCCACACGGGCCUUAUCGAGAAGACCGAGAGCGACAUGGCUACCACCACGGCUAUCCGGAAGACUAUCGCCGUUCCCCACCUCGCAGGCGAUAUUCAUCUCCCAACUCAUCCAGCUAUCGGGGACCGAGCGGCGAAUUUCGAGGCAAUGGGCCUCCUCCAAGAGAGCACCUAAGCAAGCGACUCACUCCAUCGCCAACCCGUGGUGACGUCUCCAUUGACCAUAGUCUGGUGAUCACCGUGGGCAACGAGUUGACUGGUUCACAGGCACCACGGAGCUCUCGGAAUUCAGAGCAUCAUUACGACAGAGAUUACCACAUGGGGGAUCCUCGCUACAAGCAUCCCUCUGAUAUGCGGUCGGGCUACGAUCGGGGGCCAGACGAGCGGUACAGGCGGCGGAGUCCCAGCCGGGGCAGAAGGAGCCGGAGUCACAGUCACGGCCGGGGGCGGAGCAGGAGUCGCAGCCGGGGAAAGAGCCGCGGGCGGAGCAAGAGCCGGGCCCGGAGUAAAAGCCGGCCGCGGAGCCAGAGCAGGAGCAGGAGUCGGGGGCGUAGUCGGGGGCGGAGCAAAAGUCGGGGGCGGAGCAAAAGCCGGGGGCGGAGCAAAAGCCGGGUGCGGAGCAGGAGCCGGGGCCGGAGCCACCUGAGGGAGAAGAGCAGGAGCCGCAGCGGCAGCAGCAGCAGCACCAACAGCAGGAGUCCCAGCCCCACCGCAAAGGGCAAGCGCGUUCACGCCGAUGAGUUUCGGGAGCUGGAUAUGGCCCGCCGUCGCAAAGAGCUGGAGGACAUGCUGGCCGCACCGACGAAAUCCAUCCUGAAAAAGCGCGUCGACUCCGAGACGGACUCCCCUGCAGCCCUGCAGAGCAGCGAUUCCCCCGUGGAUGGCUCAGGAGAGCAUACGAGCAGCAGUCUCUCCAGAGAGACGGAGCGUUUCCUCAGCGCCGUAUCCAAGGGGAUGGAGUCCGGCCUUUUCGCCUCCAUGCUGGGUGAAAUGGCAGAGCAGCCUCACGACCAGAGAGUGCAGGCAAUGGCGCACGGUCUGAACAUGGGCCAGUACGAGGAAAUUCUCAGCAUGGUCAAGCAAGAGACAGAAGGGGGCGCCAUUGGCGAGUUUCUCCUCCCGCACGAAAGGGUCAGGCAGGACAGCAGUGGCUUCUCCAGGAUUUUGGGCGUAAUGGGGAACGUGCCCGAUCUGCAGGAGAAGAGGAAAAGCAUUGCGGACAUUGAGGACGAAGAGAAGUUCCUCUACGGGGACGGGGACGAAGAUGAGGGCGACAAGGAAAAAGCUUCCCCGCAGACCCACUCGGCAACCCCAGCCAGAGCGCCUCAAGUGCACGGCCAGCCUGAACUGUCCCAUUACAGUGACGGCAGGCCCGAAAUCGCAAAGUAUCACGACGGCAAGUUGGCGAUGGCCCAUUAUCAGGACACUAAGGUGGAAGAGCUGGAGUAUCCCGGCGGUCGGGAAUUCGUGCAGCGUUGCCUCGGCCAGGCUGGGGUGUCUCACGAGCUCCUGAGCGAGGCGUACUCGGGUGCGGCCGACUCGCCGUAUCGUCAUGGUGGCGCGGCUGGCGACGACCGCCUGGACGCACGCUUGCUCCGGGCCUCCCACCACCAGGGCCAGCCGGACGUGCGGUACCUCCACCGUGGCCAACCUGUCGCUAGCCCUGCUCAGAACAAUGGCGGCAAGGGGGGGGGGACCCAACAACAGUCCCAAUCCGAAAGGUACCUGCCUGGGCUCGAUCCGCAGGAGGCCAAGGAGAGGGAGGAAGUGGCGGAGUACGAAAAAAUCCAGGACCUGCUGAAGACCAUCGGCCUGGACCUGGGCGUGGCGGAGAUCAGCAAGAUGGCGACCAGGACGCAGGAGCGGCUGCACGGGAAGAACCCUCCCCCGGGGUCCUCCCGCCGGGCAGAGAGGCUGCAGGAGCGGAGGGCCAAGUCCGGCAGCUGGAACCGGCGCAAGAGCCACAGCAGCACCAGCAGCAGCAGCGGCAGCAGUCGUAGCCCCAGCCGUAGCCCCAGUCACAGCCACAGCCAGGGCCGCAGCCGGAAGCGAUCCCCCGACUCGGAGAGGCGCUCCGUAUCGUCCCAUCCCUCUCGGCAGGUCUCGCUCAGCGAGUCCCUGACCGAUGCCGGCAGGUCGGAGCUGGAAGUGAAGGUGGAGGACAAAAGCUGGGGGAUCCCCGUGCUGGGGAAGACCGCCGCCCAGCCCCGCGUCACCGUCAGCAUGAACCCCCUUCCCAACCUUACCUCCGUCGCCCCGCCGGUCACCACUAUGGGAGCCCACACCAUUCAAACGAUGUCGGGCUACCAAAGCCAGACUCCGACCUAUCCUAUGCCCCCUCCAAACUACCCUCCGCCUGGCUAUGGCCAGUAUGAGAGUUACAUGCCCUACAUGCCACAGGGAUGGCCCAUGUACCCUCCCCCAACAUUGCUGCCGCCCCACUCCCCCGUGGAAGAUGUCCCUGUUUCUAGUGCAUCCGCACGCCCCUACCUGAGAGUCAUUGAGACCGUUCCCUUGGAAGCCAAGGAUUCAAGGUCGUCGCAGUCUGCGAGCAAGGCAUCAAAGCCGGACUCUGAAGACGGUUAUACCAGUCAGAUUGCGAGAGUGGAGGUUAGCCAAUCACUGCAACUGUCGGAAGAGAAAAACCAAGCCUGUCAAAAAGAGAAGGUCAUCGAAGAAAAGGAGAAACUGAAGAAGGAACGAGAUGUGCGCAUGAAGAAGAAAGAGUACCUCAUGAAGGAACUGGAGCGGUUACGAAAACAACAAGGGGAGCUCUUGCGGAAGAAGCGUCGGGAGAAGGACGGGCACAAGGACCCCCUGCUGGCGGAGCUGGGCCGGCUGCAGGAGGAGGUGAUGGCGCAGAUCUCCAAGCUCCGCAAGGAGCACGUGGCGGCCGAGCAGAAGCGGGCGGAGCUGGACAAGGUGGCGCUCAUCCUGGGCAUGCACGGCGCGGACAAGCACCGCAAAGCCAGCCGGGGGUCCCGGGAGCGCCAGCCCCCCUCCGCGGAGAAGACCCUGGAUAAGCCGCCCUCCGCUAGCGCCGCUUCCGCUAAGGCCGCGUCCGCUUCGGGGUCCAGUCCUGAAAAACACAAGCCAAAAAGCCAGCAUGCCACUCGAUCGCCAGAAAAAUCGCCCGAGCUGUACGAAUACUACGAUUCCGGGAACCACUGGUGUAAAAACUGUAACACCGUCUGUGGCUCCAUGUUCGAUUUUUUCACACACUUGCACAGUAAAUCACACAGAAAGACUCUUGACCCAUAUGAUCGACCCUGGGCAUCAAAUUCCUCCAGCAAGGAGAAGAAACGGACUCCGGGAGAGAAGAUAGUCAGGCCGGCUAAGGGUUGUGAGUUUUUGGUCCCUGUGAUGGGAUUUUACUGCCAGCUGUGCGAAGAGUUUUUUGGGGAUCAAAUUUGCGCUGAAGAGCACGUCACUUGUCACAAGCACAAUGGGAAGUACAAGAAACGCAUGGACGAGUACCCACUGUACGAACAGAGGAGGAAUCUGGACCGGCAGGCCGGCCUCUCUGUGGGCAUGGACAGCAGAGAGAGAAAGCACUCCGAGCUCAAACGAAAACUGGAGACCGAGCCCUCGGAGUCAAAGGAGGACCGACCCCCCAGUCCCCGGGACGAGCCCCCUCCCAGUCACAGAGAACGGAAGUCCCACAGCUCCAGAGACGAAAAGUCCAAAAUCCACAAAGAGGAGUCCUCCUCCAGCCACAGGGAGGAGAGGGUGCCGGGACGCAGGGAGGACCAGCCCUCCGGGCACAGAGAGGAGAGGCACGUAAGUGUCCGAAGGGAGAAGGAGUCUCGGAGGAGGACCCCGGUGCGGGAGGUCAAACCCGAGCCCCAGAAGCCCGAGGAGCCGGCGGUGGAGAAGCCCGUUAACGUCCCCAAGGUGAUCUGCGGGCCCAGCCCCUCCAUCCUGGCGAAGGUGAGGAAGAGGAACGAGGAGGCGGUCAAGAGCGCCGCCGCCGCCGCCUCCGCUUUCGGGAAGUUCAGCUGGAAAAAACCGGAGAAGGAGAAGGAGAAGGAAAAAGAGAACGAGGUCGGCAAGGAAGAGAAAGCGAUGGACGACGCAGUGGAAGACGAGGACGACGAUGACGGCGAAGACCAAGAAGAAGGGAAGGGUACCUUCUCGAAGGCGAAGGGCAUCGCGAUCAAGCUGUCGGGGAAAACCGUCAUCCCUCCCUCGAGCGCGUGGGUGCCGUUCGCCUCUGUGCAGCCCGCGCCCGCCGUCGCGAAAAAAACCUUGACUGCGCCCAUGAUGGUCUUGAGGAAGUCCAGUCCCAUCGCCUCCAGCAAGCCUGCCCCUUUGAAAACCUUCCUUUCGAUCAAACCCUCCGGUGCCAAUAAUGGUAAGCCUUUGCCAGUGGUCAAGUCCGAGGUUAAGAAGGACGCCGUGCUCACGCCGGACCUCAUAUCCAAGGCGUUCGGCGGCGAAGAGGUGGUUUUGAAAACGGCCGAAGUGCCGGUGAAAACGGCCCCGGCCUCAGACAAAGUUGAGAAGAGGCCCUCGCCGGACGUUCAAAAGUUGCCCGCCAAAACGAACCCCGUGGCCCGGCCGCAGGCGCUGCCGCCCCCAGGCAUGCGCCUCAUGAGCUUUGAGUCGGACGUGGCCGCCCCCGGGGUCCCCGAGAGCGAGCAGGCCGUGGCCGUCCUGGUGUGCCCUCCUCCCCUGGUCCACAUGACCCUGUCCGAGGGCUCCAAGAGCGAGAAGCCCAAGUCCAGCUUGGCCGCGGCGAAGGCGCAGGACUUGUACGACAUCUUUUACAGCAGCGGCGUCAAAGGGGGCUCGGCCCCCCUCGCCGGGGCGAGGCGGCCCAAGAGCGCAGAAACCCCAAAGAGCAAGGACUCGGGCGUGGGCGUGGGCGUGAGCGCGAGCGCUCCAAAAACCGAAAGUAAAACCGGGACCGAUGUCCAGAAAGAGCCGACGUCUGACUGCAGCGCCGGCGUGCAGCUCGACGAGCAGACACUCGAAAUAAUUCCCAACCCGGAAAAAGACGGCCCCUAUCCCCAGUUAGACAUGGGGGACCUCGAUAUGUUCACGUUUAACUUUGAGUAGCUGGAUAAAGUGGAGUUUUCUGUUUCCUGAUGGGGGAAAAAAACGAGGGAUGGGACUGUUGAGGCGUUCGGGUGGCAGUGCAGUCGGGUUUCCUCGGUAUGGGAUGUGAUAUCAGUGUCGAUGUGGACAGCGGGGAUUGAGGGUGGGAGCUGUCGAGAGGCUAGUGCAGGUUUAGAGCCGGAUUGAAGGUGGUUUGUGAGGACUCGAGAGCCAUCGAAAUGAUGUACCCACUCACAAACCCUCACACACUAAACCCGUAACUUGUGUAAAUGAGACUGGGGAAGCUGGGAGUGAGUGCUCGGUAACAGAUGACACACUUUCACUGUUUUAAUAAAUGCUCCUUUUCGUAUGCUGUACAUGCAUUGUGUUUCUCUCCCGCUUUUCAGACCAUUACAGAAAAAAUGUCAAAUCCUACCUUACCUUCCUAAGAAAAGGUAAUGAACAAGUAGCAGUAUAAUCGUAUUUUAUUUUUGAUGUACGAUUCAUCUCUACAGACUCAUAAGCUUUUAUCUUUGUUGUUUUUUUUUGUUUUGUUUUUUUUAAAUCAAAGACAAGUUAAUGCAGGAAGGAGAGCAGAACCUGGACGAGAAGACGAGAUUGGUGUGUCCCACGGUCCACUGUCGAAUCCGUACUGUGGCUGGCAGCCUCACAGGGUGACAUACAGUUGGCCCUAUCUUCGCCCAGGGAUUGGCCAGGAUGACAGCAUCUCAUUGCACACCAGCGGCCCCCAGCUGACCAAUCAGGAGCCCGCAAGCUACUCUGUUUCGCUGCCUGUUAGUUAGUCUUACUCAGGUCUGUGUGAGCCCUACUGGAGAACAGUGGUAAUAAGCACUUUACACAGCCCAAAAAAAAUGGAGGUAACUUGACUGUUAGUCAAAAUAUACUGCCUGAAUUGUGUACAAUUGAGUGCAAAUGAGGGUGGGGGUUAGUGAUGAUCCUACACCCCAUUGCCCACCCAUGUCUGCAAUAUGAGAAGUGGCAGCAACCGUGUGUAGCAAGCUGUUUAGCUCCUGCAAAACCACGUUCUUUUAAACUGAUCAAGGUCAAAGCGAUUACUCUCCAUGGUGCCAUCUGGGAAAUGCGGUUUUCUGACCGGCUACAGGUAAGAUGAGAAACUCACAAAUGCUUUGCAAGGACAGCUAUUGUCAGGCAAAGUCACAGGUGGCAUGGUGUAACCUGAUUCUUUAAAUGUGCAUAGAUCUUUUGUUAGUGGUGGCUGUUUUUAUUUCCCUAGGGAUACCAGCUUUAUCCAUUUGCUCAAAGUUGUUUUCUAGAAUUUAUGAUAAUUUGGAAGACUGCUACUUUAGAGUAGUUCAGCUGAAAGUAAUUUAUUUCUGUGUAUGCCACAUUGUUUAUGUUCUAGUUUGAAUAAUGAGGCUGCCAAACAGCACAUGACAAUUAGGGCUUGGGGUUGUUUACAUCCAAAUGGCAUAUGCAUUAGAGAAGGGAGAUUUGUAAUUGUUCUUCUUCAAUAAAAUGCAUUUGAAAAUUA